ACUGAGUUCCAGUUCAUGUAAACAUCCUACACUCAGCUGUAACACAUGAUUGGCUGGGAGGUGGAUGUUUACUUCAGCUGACUUGGA
rnacentral:pre_miRNA from 1 species